rnacentral:rRNA from 1 species
AGAGUUUGAUUAUGGCUCAGAACGAACGCUGGCGGCAGGCCUAAGACAUGCAAGUCGUACGAGAGCGGUCCUUCGGGGCUUAGUAGAGUGGCGAACGGGUUAGUAACGCGUGGGAACAUACACAGCACAGGGGGAUAACCAUUGGAAACGAUGGCUAAUACCGCAUACGCCCUAUGGGGGAAAGAUUUAUCGGUGUUGGAUUGGCCCGCGUUAGAUUAGCUAGUUGGUGGGGUAAUGGCCCACCAAGGCAAUCCGAUUUUAAUAGCCUGGUUCUGAGGAGGAGAUGAUCACGCAACACCUGGAACUCGAGACACGGUCCAGACUCCUACGGGAGGCAGCAGUCGGGCAUAUUGUGCCAUUGGGGCAUCCCUGAACACAGCCAUGCCGCGUGAGUGAAAGAAGGCCCUAGGGUUGUUAAGCUCUUUCAGAUGUGAGGAUGAUGACGAUAGCAUCACAAGAAGCUCCCGGCUAACUUCGUGCCAGCAGCCGCGGUAAUACGAAGGGAGCAAGCCGUUGUUCGGAAUUACUGGGCGUAAAGGGCGUGUAGGCGGAUUACCAAGUUAGGGGUGAAAUCCCGGGGCUCAACCUCGGCACUGCCUUUAAGACUGAUAAUCUAGAGUAUGUGAGGGAAUAAUGGAAUACCUAGUGUAGAGGUGAAAUUCGUAGAUAUUAGGUGGAACACCAGUGGCGAAGGCGAUUAUCUGGCACAUUACUGACGCUGAGGCGCGAAAGCGUGGGGAGCAAACGGGAUUAGAUACCCCGGUAGUCCACGCCGUAAACGAUGUAUACUAGUUUGUCGGGCAUUUGUUCGGUGACGCAGCUAACGCAUUAAGUAUACCGCCUGGGGAGUACGGUCGCAAGAUUAAAACUCAAAGAAAUUGACGGGGACCCGCACAAGCGGUGGAGAAUGUGGUUUAAUUCGAAGCUACGCGAAGAACCUUACCCACCUUUGACUUGGUAGUUCGGGGUAUUGGAGACAAUACCUUUCAGCUCGGCUGGGCUACGCACAGGUGCUGCAUGGCUGUCGUCAGCUCGUGUCGUGAGAUGUUGGGUUAAGUCCCGCAACGAGCGCAACCCUUGUUUUCAGUUACCAUCAUUUAGUUGGGUACUUUGGAAAGACUGCCGGUGAUAAACCGGAGGAAGGCGGGGACGACGUCAAGUCAUCAUGGCCCUUAUAGGUGGGGCUACACACGUGCUACAAUGGCAUUUACAGAGGGUUGCUGCUGUGCAAACAGACGCUAAUCCCAAAAAGAUGUCUCAGUUCGGAUUGUUCUCUGCAACUCGAGAGCAUGAAGUCGGAAUCGCUAGUAAUCGUGGAUCAGCAUGCCACGGUGAAUACGUUCCCGGGUCUUGUACACACCGCCCGUCACACCAUGGGAGUUGGUUUUACCCGAAGCCGGUGCGCUAACCUUUUUUUAGGGGGCAGCCGUCCACGGUAAGAUUGAUGACUGGGGUGAAGUCGUAACAAGGUAACC